GCGAGGCCGGCUGCGCACGUGGAGCUCGCGUGCUUGCCGACCCGUCUCUUUUGGAUGUAGCCCGUUUUUUGGGCUUCCGGCGUACUCUUGUUUUCCCUCUGCAUUUCGACACGGCACCGCUGUACUACUGCACUACAGCAAGCUGAUGGCAUCCGGUGGAGCUUCGUACGGCAACGACUGCUGCUUACCUGGUGUCACAACUUUCGAUGAAUGCACAAGAAGCCCGGAACGAACAUUUAUAUAGAGCAAAAUAAACAUUUCAUCAUUUCAGAAGA